UUGCUAAGACCUACUGUAAGCAGGUCUAAUAAGAAUUUCUUUUUCUUCACAAUUAUGAAAGAAAAGAAAUUGUGAAGAAAGAAAUUCUUACUAGUUUUGCUGUCAAAUCUCAAUCUGUAAA
rnacentral:precursor_RNA from 1 species